rnacentral:rRNA from 1 species
GAAUCUUGGGCAAUGGGCGAAAGCCUGACCCAGCGACGCCGCGUGGAGGAUGAAGGCCCUAGGGUUGUAAACUCCUUUUGCCGGGGAAGAAGAUCUGACGGUACCCGGCGAAUAAGCCACGGCUAACUACGUGCCAGCAGCCGCGGUAAUACGUAGGUGGCGAGCGUUGUCCGGAUUUACUGGGCGUAAAGAGCGCGUAGGCGGCCUGCCAAGUCAGCGGUGAAAUCUCCCGGCUCAACCGGGAGGGGCCCGUUGAUACUGGUAGGCUCGAGGGAGGCAGAGGAAGGUGGAAUUCCCGGUGUAGCGGUGAAAUGCGCAGAUAUCGGGAGGAACACCAGUGGCGAAGGCGGCCUUCUGGGCCUUACCUGACGCUGAGGCGCGAAAGCGUGGGGAGCGAACCGG